UAGCACUCUGUUGUGAAGGACAGAGAAAUUGUGGGCGAGUUGACAAAUCAUAAAAAGAAUGGUAUAAAAAUUAAGUCAUAAGUGCCGCCUCGCGAUAACGUUUUCCGACGGCCCUGCUGUAGACUACCUAUCUGUUGCAUUUCUACUCUGCCACUUGGAAGGUCGCUUUAAGUUUUCAAAAAAGAAGACGCAAGUUUUCACGAUGGGCACAAUGACAGAAAAAAUACGAUAAAGCGAAGUGUCUGUCUAUGCUCGCGCCUCAUCCGCCUGCGGGGAGACCAGACACCUGCACCCAAGCGUCGCACUUUGCUUUCGUUCUCGUUUAAAAGGAACAUUAUGCAAGUUUGACUUUUCUUAUUUGAACCCGAUGGCUGAAUCUUGGUGAUGCGGAGACCUCCCAAACACCCCAGAGCUUCCUGCCCUGCUUUGCUGAUGCUGCAACGGUACUGAGCUGGACCUCUCUCCUCUUCAGGGAAGCUGUACUCUUGUAUGGAUGUAUAAAAUACUGCCAACUGUAUUGCUAAAGUGCAAACUUUCAAAAUAUCCACGUAAUGCUUCACCCUCCUGUUGGAAGUCAACUGUAGCCUGUUCUUGUGUAUUUGUAGGAAAUACCACCCACUGUAACUGUAACUGUAUUGCUUGCAGAAUUUCUCCAAGACCCCAUCCACCUUGUUUCCCUGUUCAUGUUUUUUUUUUUUUUUUUAUCACUAAUGAUUUGGUUUCUGAAUUCUACAUUAGACCAGACCACAACCUCUGCUGUUUAAUUUUUUUGAACGUGACAGAUAAAGGACCGUUUCUUUCUCUCCAACCCGUGACCUAGGUAACCGUGACCUAGGUAACCUGUGACUUCCCUACAUCCUACUUUCGUAACAAGCUGAUCUCACGCCAGGCCAUCGCAUUGCUCUACAAGCCACAAAUAGCCUACAACACCUAUGUGCAGACAGUGACCUCUUCUGGUAGAAUGAAGACAAGUUGAAUGACCUCAUACACACUGAACAAGACACUAAAUUGCUCCCCCCAGAAGCUGGUUUCCUAUGGUGGUUUAGAUGUGUGUUCGCUGUUCUAGCACCAUAUGAAAUCAGUGUUCUGGAAGGUAGAAUAGCAGCUCAUGGAAACGGACCAAGCCAUAGUUAAGAAAGUGAGAAAUUGACAUAGUGUGUUGUUGCAUGUGUUUGUCUGUGUAUACGGUAGGUACAAUGACAAGUGUUCUUUGAGUGGUUUUCUAAUAAUGUUCUUACUGUUUGGAGCUACAUUCUGUAUUGACUAGUAAUUUGUUAGUACACCAAAUAUAAUUAUGCCUCCA